CCCCUACUAAGUUUUCUAAAUAUUGUGUUAUUAAAUAAUGCUGAUAUCAACAUUCUUAUUAUGUGUAUAGUUGCACAAAUGUUCCCGCACACCCAUUUCUUGUCAUCUGACUUUGGUAAAAACUUAAAGACCAAUUACAUAGUCAAAUUUUCAGUCCUUUCCUUUAUGUCUUCUGAGCCUUGUUUUUUAAUACUUCAGUAACAUCUCAACUCUGAAAUUACAGAAUAAAAUGUCUUCCGUGCUUGCUUUCUUUCUGUUUUGCUUUCACUGUUGAGCUUACAGUUCACACAGCCCAGCCCCCUGCAGAAUCUCCCUUGCUCAGGUUGGCCUGGGCCUUGCAAUCUCGCGGGGAGGGCCUCUCUGCCGCGGCCUCCCGCUCUCCGCCCGCCCUGGGCCGCCUGGGCCCCUCGGCGCCGUGCUGUCCCAAGUGGUGAGUCCCCUCCGAGGCAGAGGCCCCCGGCGAGCUCGGGCGUUCGGGCGGUCGGCGCCGCUGCAGCCUGCCGGCCACGGCGCCUCGUCCCAGGGACGUUCGAACCGGUCGUCGGGCGCCCCCGGCGGCCGCUUUCAGAGCGUUCCUUUCCUUCGGCGACCUUCACAAGGGCUGCGAUUCAGCCGGGAAACCCGGCACAGAGCUCCAGAGGCCGGCAUCAUUGGUGGAGAUAACUCCGGUGUUUCGGAGACCUGGGCAUGCCUGCUCGUGCUGAAGAUUGGGCCUGCAGCACUCUGAGUUAUACCCCUUACAGACACUCCCUCUCUCCUGGGCAUCAGGCUCCCUGGUUCAGAUCAUCCAUGACCCAUUUCUCUACACUCAAGGAGUUAUCUGGCCACGUUGGCUCCAGCUCUAAUGGAGUGAGUUGAGCAGUGAUGGACCCAGAGAAGAGUGGAGAAAACAGGGCAUGAAGGAGAAAUAUAUUUUCGUGUUUGCUUAUAAGGAACUCUAGAAGGAUCUGUAAGAAACAAAAUACUACCUGUGGAGGCAGAUGGCCCUGGACACACAGGCUAAAUGAGAGAAGGAACAGAUUAAGGCAAAGUGUAUUUUCAGUAUCUUGAAUCAUGUACCUGUAUUAUAACCUCUUUGGAAUUUUCAAUAAAUUGAAUUUUUUUAAAACUUCCAAAGAAUAAAAUGCAUUUUACUGUU
ensembl:lncRNA